rnacentral:rRNA from 1 species
CCUACGGGAGGCAGCAGUGAGGAAUAUUGGUCAAUGGGCGGAAGCCUGAACCAGCCAAGUAGCGUGAAGGAUGACGGCCCUACGGGUUGUAACCUGCUUUUAUCCGGGAAUAUAGCGCCUUACGUGUAGGGCUUUGCAUGUACCGUAUGAAACAGGACCGGCUAAUUCCGUGCCAGCUGCCGCGGGAAUCAGGAAGGUCCGGGUGUUAUCCGGAUUUUUUGGGUUUAAAGGGAGCGUAGGCCGCAUGUCAAGCGUGCUUUGAAAUUUUCGGGCUCAACCCGGGCCGUGCAGCGCGAACUGGCGUGCUUGAGUCCGCGGAAAGCAGGCGGAAUUCGUCGUGUAGCGGUGAAAUGCUUAGAUAUGACGAAGAACCCCGAUUGCGAAGGCAGCUUGCUGCAGCGGAACUGACGCUGAUGCUCGAAAGCGCGGGUAUCGAACAGGAUUAGAUACCCUUGUAGUC